rnacentral:SRP_RNA from 1 species
CACCCAACCCAGGACGGAGCGGUUGGCCCGAAUGCGGCGCAGUCUGGAGCGGACAACGCGAGUCAGGCUUCAGCGAAGCGAAGAACAGGCCGGCUAGAGUUGAAGGAUAAGCG